UUUGUUUUUUCCCUCUUUAUUCUAUUUAGUGUGUCGUUAUCUUGUAUAUAUAUAAACAUAUAUAUAAGAAUCAAAUAUGAAUAACCCAUACGUCAUAUUUAAAACAUUUUCAAACAAUUUGUCUACGAUUUCAAUGAAUAACUCGUAAAAUACAACUAGUACUGGUUAAGUUAUUUCUAGGUUGAUUUUUCUAUUUAUGUUAUCUAUUUUUCUAUGUUUUUUAAUAGUUACGUGUUAUGUAGGGUUUGUUUUUUCCCUCUUUAUUCUAUUUAGUGUGUCGUUAUCUUGUAUAUAUAUAAACAUAUAUAUAAGAAUCAAAUAUGAAUAACCCAUACGUCAUAUUUAAAACAUUUUCAAACAAUUUGUCUACGAUUUCAAUGAAUAACUCGUAAAAUACAACUAGUACUGGUUAAGUUAUUUCUAGGUUGAUUUUUCUAUUUAUGUUAUCUAUUUUUCUAUGUUUUUUAAUAGUUACGUGUUAUGUAGGGUUUGUUUU
rnacentral:lncRNA from 1 species